UUUCUUCCAUAUACCACCUGUUGAUACACAUCAACUGAAAAGUCCCUAAAUACAGAAUUCUAUCACAGAAUCUAAGACACAAUUCAUCCACCAAUCAAUCUAAAACUGAAACAAAAAUAUCCACUACCUGUUGAAGCAAAAAUAACUGAAAACUGAAGCAAAAAUAGAUACAAUUAUUGCUCCAUUCUCCUCUCGCUGGACAAACUCCCAACGUGAGCUUCCACUAUGCCGGCUGCUGGUAUGCAACCAUACGAGAUGAGAAUGGAGCAAUAAUUGUUGAAAUGGAAGAUAAAUGAGAAUUUUUUGAAGAACCGAGAGAGAGUGGAAUGGGAACUGUCGGGCCGUGAAGUGUGAAGAAGGAAAUUAAGAAAAUGAGGGUUUUCAAUUGGUGAGACAGUUUUACCCCUGUUGAGUGGAAAAAAAUUGGUUCUCUCUUUUUAAUUAACGGCAAAAUGGAUGAAACUUGGACGGAAGGACCUUCA
rnacentral:lncRNA from 1 species